GAUGAAGAACGCAGCGAAAUGCGAUAAGUAAUGUGAAUUGCAGAAUUCAGUGAAUCAUCGAAUCUUUGAACGCACAUUGCGCCCCCUGGUAUUCCGGGGGGCAUGCCUGUUCGAGCGUCAUUUCACCACUCAAGCCUCGCUUGGUAUUGGGCAACGCGGUCCGCCGCGUGCCUCAAAUCGACCGGCUGGGUCUUCUGUCCCCUAAGCGUUGUGGAAACUAUUCGCUAAAGGGUGUUCGGGAGGCUACGCCGUAAAACAACCCCAUUUCUAAGGUUGACCUCGGAUCAGGUAGGGAUACCCGCUGAACUUAAGCAUAUCAAUAAGCGGAGAA
rnacentral:misc_RNA from 1 species